rnacentral:rRNA from 1 species
AUGCCUAGGAGGUCGACCAUGGAAGACAUUUUCUUGGUACGACAACUUAUGGAGAGAUAUAGGGAGCAAAAGAAGGACUUGCAUAUGGUGAUCAUUGACUUGGAGAAUGCCUAUGAGAGAUGGUUUGGGCAUAUUCAGCGCAGGCCUCCAGAAGCUCCAGUGCAUAGCGGGCGGCUAAAGCGUGCGGAGAAUGUCAAGAGAGGGCGGGGUAGACCGAAUUUGACAUGGGAGGAGUCCGUUAAGAGAGUCCUGAAGGAUUGGAGUAUCACCAAAGAGCUAGCUAUGGACAGGGGUGCGUGGAAGCUUGCUAUCCAUGUGCCAGAGCCAUGA